rnacentral:rRNA from 1 species
AACGAACGCUGGCGGCAUGCCUAACACAUGCAAGUCGAACGAGACCUUCGGGUCUAGUGGCGCACGGGUGCGUAACGCGUGGGAACCUGCCCUUAGGUUCGGAAUAACUCCCCGAAAGGGGUGCUAAUACCGGAUAAUGUCUUCGGACCAAAGAUUUAUCGCCUUUGGAUGGGCCCGCGUUGGAUUAGCUAGUUGGUAGGGUAAAAGCCUACCAAGGCGACGAUCCAUAGCUGGUCUGAAAGGAUGAUCAGCCACACUGGGACUGAGACACGGCCCAGACUCCUACGGGAGGCAGCAGUGGGGAAUAUUGGACAAUGGGCGAAAGCCUGAUCCAGCAAUGCCGCGUGAGUGAUGAAGGCCUUAGGGUUGUAAAGCUCUUUUACCCGGGAUGAUAAUGACAGUACCGGGAGAAUAAGCGCCGGCUAACUCCGUG